AUGGGAGUCAGAGCAGGGAAAGAGGAAGAGGCCCAAGAGAGGGUUUAGAGGGGAAAUGAAAAGAAGAGUUCCUUGUUGCUCAGUUGAGUAGAGCUGUCUAUAGAGCAUCCAGGUUAUAACAGACAAGAGGUUGUUGGAAAUACUAGUCAGAAGCUCAGGAGAGCCUCUGGGCCAUUGAGACGGUCUCAAGGUUCAUGGCAGCACUGUUUCCAAGCUCUGUUUCCCAGCAUCCAUGAACUAAGCAACUUUACUCUGCUAUGACUUCCCACCGUAAUGUUUCUGCCUUGGAACCAGCAGACCAUGGACCGAGUACUCUGAAACCAUGAGCUAAAUAAACCUCUUCUUUACAUUGCAGCAGCAUCACCUGGAGAGAAGCUUCUUGGAAAUACAGUAUGGCAAGCUCUGCCCCAGACAUGCAGAUUCAGACCCUGCCUUCUAACAAUGGCCACAGGUGAAUCACAUGCACAUUUCCCUUACAGAAGCUCAGUUUGGGGGUUGACUACACAGAGGCAUGUAAGAUGAAGUAUAUGUCACUCUCAACAUGUGCUGCUCAGGGUUCUUAGAUCUCUGAUUAAAAAACUCUUAGAUAUUAUUAUGUGUAUAAAUGUCAUCCAGGCAGACUCUACCUGGUCAGUACUAUUACAAUUCUGAUACCCAGAUCAGCAGAAACAGAUCAGCAGCACCCUUUGGAGAUUGGCAUGGUAAUGAAAACCUUUCUGGGUCAGAGGACGCUGCAUUCUAGAAGAGCACCUAUUAACUUCCCUGUUCAUGUGAGCAGCCUGGAAUGAGAAAAGGAAGAAAAGGGCACAAAAUACAGAAUACCAAAACAUGGAUCCUGGUAAGCUCAAAGAACGCCGAUGGAUGAUAAGGCUCUGAAAGAUGGACAGAGGUAAUGUAUGAAGCAAUGGUAUGUGAGGUUAUUGGGCAAGUCAGAGUUGCUUCUGCCACAUCCAACAAGUGAACACCACAAGUGACCAGCCCACAUCAGUUCCUUUGAGUUCAUGGUAGAAAUUCUGAUGAGCUUGGAUAUUCUCAAGUCUUACUUUGCUUGGAGGAUGAAGUGACACACAGAACAUUGGAAUGCUGCCUCAUUCACAUACGGCUUACCUUGCAUGCAUUCUAACAGCAAUGUGCAAGAAGCAGAGACUGGCAAAUUCACAAAUAUAUAGGGAUUUGAGAUUUCCCAUGCAAGUUAUUCCAGAAAUGCCAAGUAUUUUGUUUAUGACAAAACAAGAACUAAAAUGUUGACUGCCAUUUUCACCACCAGAGAGAAAACAGAGUGACAGGCUUUCAUGUUUUUGAUAAAAUAGGCAAAAGGGGAAUAGUCAUUAAUCUUGCUGAAGCUCUGUAAUAUAAAAUUAUUUAGGUGGCUGUGAAAGGAAAUUAAAUAUGCUAUAGAGAAAAAAAACAUAGCUUUUAGGGAGAUCUGCUGCUUUUUAAAAGACGAGUCUGUGAUUCUACAAUAAUGACAUAAAAGCCGAAAUGCUAUUUCCUAGUCUAUUACAUUUUAGCUGUCACUGAAACUAAAGUAAUGGAAAAGUUAUAUUUCUGUGUGUAAAGUAACUACAAAUUAUCCAUUCAUCACAAAACAUUUUAUCCUUUAUCUAUUUAGAUAUAAUUGUAGUCUUGCUCUUUUAAAUUUUAGAGAACAGGAUGUUGGUUAAUAAAAAUUCCAG
ensembl:lncRNA